rnacentral:rRNA from 1 species
AACUUUUGGCUUGGUGAACCCAGCCCGGCCUCUAGUGGGUCGUGUGUUGGUGUGCGCGGGCCAUUCUUCUGGAGAGUAUUGCUGCCCUUGAUCGGGUUGGUGAUAUGAUUCAGAUCAUUUACUGUGAGUAAAUCAAAGUGUUCAAAGCAGGCUUUAGGCUUGUAUGGUUCAGCAUGGAAUAAUAAGAUAAGACUUCGGUUUUAUUUUGUUGGCUGUAGAACCAAAGUAAUGAUUGAUAGGGAUAGUUGGGGGUGCUAGUAUUCAAUGGUCAGCGGUGAAAUGCGAGGACCCAUUGAAGACUAACUAAUGCGAAAGCAUU